CAGAGCUGGGAGGCGGAGAGGACAGAAUCUGCGUAAAUGUGGUGACUUCAAUAGACCCUAAUAGGAAGCUCAAAUAAUACAGUAUAUGUAUAACAGCAUUUCAGCCAGGGAGGAAGAAAAGAACCUGACUACCGAACCAGAAGGGAAAACUGCUACACACCGCCCUGGUUAUUAGGCACAGAGAAGACAUUUUUGCCAUCCUCAUGGAACUUUUGAUCAGAAACUGGUCAGACAUUCCCAGAGUGGUUGAGAGCCUGUCAAGGUCACUGCCAAGGACAAGAGAGUCAAUUAGUAUGCAGAUCAGAGGCAAGGAG